UACGGAGGGGACUAGCGUUGUUCGGAAUUACUGGGCGUAAAGCGCACGUAGGCGGAUCUGUAAGUCAGGGGUGAAAUCCCGGGGCUCAACCUCGGAACUGCCUUUGAUACUGCAAAUCUCGAGUCCGGAAGAGGUGAGUGGAAUUCCUAGUGUAGAGGUGAAAUUCGUGGAUAUUAGGAAGAACACCAGUGGCGAAGGCGGCUCACUGGUCCGGUACUGACGCUGAGGUGCGAAAGCGUGGGGAGCAAACAGG
rnacentral:rRNA from 1 species